CUAUACAUGCAGUCGAGCGGAGUUUUAUUGGUGCUUGCACCUUUAAAAUUUUAGCGGCGGACGGGUGAGUAACACGUGGGUAACCUACCUUAUAGAUUGGGAUAACUCCGGGAAACCGGGGCUAAUACCGAAUAAUACUUUUAAACACAUGUUUUGAAGUUGAAAGACGGUUUUGCUGUCACUAUAAGAUGGACCCGCGGCGCAUUAGCUAGUUGGUGAGGUAACGGCUCACCAAGGCAACGAUGCGUAGCCGACCUGAGAGGGUGAUCGGCCACGCUGGGACUGAAACACGGCCCAGACUCCUACGGGAGGCAGCAGUAGGGAAUCUUCCACAAUGGACGAAAGUCUGAUGGAGCAACGCCGCGUGAGUGAAGAAGGAUUUCGGUUCGUAAAACUCUGUUGCAAGGGAAGAACAAGUAGCGUAAUAACUGGCGCUACCUUGACGGUACCUUGUUAAAAAGCCACGGCUAACUACGUGCCAGCAGCCGCGGUAAUACGUAGGUGGCAAGCGUUGUCCGGAAUUAUUGGGCGUAAAGCGCGCGCAGGUGGUUCUUUAAGUCUGAUGUGAAAGCCCCCGGCUCAACCGGGGAGGGUCAUUGGAAACUGGGGAACCUGAGUGCAGAAGAAGAUAGUGGAAUUCCAAGUGUAGCGGUGAAAUGCGUAGAGAUUUGGAAGAACACCAGUGGCGAAGGCGACUGUCUGGUCUGUAACUGACACUGACGCGCGAAAGCGUGGGGAGCAAACAGGAUUAUAUACCCUGGUACUCCACGCCGUACACGAUGAGUGCUAAGUGUUGGGGGGUUUCCGC
rnacentral:rRNA from 1 species